GUCUCUCUUGUAGAGAGAGGGCUAACGAGAACCACGGGAUCCGGAAACCUCAUACGUUGCAGAAUCUGAUAAAUCCCACACAAGACACCUGCAUGUCCCCACAGCACAAGAUUCGGCCUCUUCCACAAGACAAAGUAUCUGCGCAGUCAUAUGAAGAAGGCAAGUGCCGAUUUGAAGUAGCACUAGGGCUCGAUACAUGAUUGUGCAGAAUUAGGGUUCAUGCUGUCUGAUCCAUAAUUUGAGACCCAAAUUGACGACUGGUGGGGCUUUGAUUUCGGAAUGCGCGGGUAACUCUGUGAGAUGGCUUUAUCGCUCUUCGUCGUGGUCUGCAUCCUCCACUCGGCGAUCGCCCUGACCACGGGCGUUCUGAUGGUGUUCUUCAUGGAGGAGAUCUACACCUUCACGCACGGCACGGUGGCGGCCAAGAAGAUGCUUGGCUCGACGCCGGAGGCCCAGCUCCUGAUCCGAACCUCCGAUUCGUUCUCCGGCUUGCUACUGUUCGCGAUCGGGUUGCUCCUCUUUAUGGUGGCCUUCGUUAAGGACCGAGAUUUCCAGAGCUUCUUCGCCAAGGGGUGUGUGUUGCUUCACGUUUCCAUGGCGAUUUGGAGGUUUAAUUUCGAGAGGAGGGUCGAGGAUUUGGCUUGGGAUUGGCUCAGGCAAAUUGUCGGCGACAUCUUGCUUGCUCUUUCGUGGGUUUUCUUUCUUGUCUAUUCUUGGAAAGUUAAGUAUGACUAAUUUGGCAAGAUUAAGAUGGCUGUGGAUUUGGGAAAAAUGCUGGAAUCGUAGUUCUUGGCAUUUAGUAUGGGAAUGAAAUUCAUAGAGUUAUUGAGAUGCUAGAUGCGUACAUGGCUUAUGGCUUGCUUCAAGUGCUGCUCCUUUAAGUAUAUUUUACUCUGAAGAAAAGAAUCAAUGAGUUGUUGAAGUAGUUAUGUACAGGAGGGUCUUUGUAAAGUUCCUGAUUUUAUGAUAAUGUGAUGAAUUAUUUUUUGUUUAUGCGGAAUUGAUGUUGUAGGGUGUAUUUGUGUUUUUUCAAUUCAAGGUUGUUUCUGAAAGAUGUCUAUGGCAAUACGAAAAUAUUGCCUUCUAUGGAGGUUGGAAGAUAGAUGGGGUGUUAUGGUACUGCAUUGAUAUUCUGGACCUUCAUCUUCAGAUCUGUUGCUAUUAUUAUGUUUGUGGUGAUUUUUUCAGAAAUGAGGGCGGUGACUUUGGUCUCACUUGACUGCAUUCUUUGGCAGCUCAAAGCCUAAAUUUAGGUGAUUGCUAAUUUAUCGCCGUAUUUCAAAUGAUCUGAAGGGCUGGCAAGCAGAAAUGUGCAUGGCAGGAUCUAUCAACGCCCUCACUACUGUCAAAUAAUUCAUCCAGUCCUAGAGCCACUCUACCAGUUCAAUUCUUGAAAAAGUCUUUCAAGGCCAAAAGGAUGGCGAAUUGAAAUCACACAAAUAUAGGCCUGUUUGGACGGGAGGAAGGAGAUGCGAAGGACACAAGAAUAUGACAGAGAUCUUAAAUGAUGACAUGCGCCAGGCAUAUCCAAAGAGGAAAAGUGGGGAGGUAGUUGAGGCACACGCAGAUGCAGCGGAUGCAUAGAUUCAGAGGGAGUGGUGAGGUUUCUAUUGGCUCGUUGCAGUACAGGUGGAGCCUGCUUGGUCAUCGCUAAUCCCUCAAAGAAAGAUGAGCUCGGCAAAGGCAGGGCAAAAGAGCAAGCAGUCUGGCUAAAACUGAACAUCCAUUGGGCUCCACUAUGGCUUGUCCUCUGGUUGAAGAGGUCAUUCAGCUGGAUUACAAGGCUGAGAGGUUCCUUGUAGCUUGCACCCCUGUGGCUGUGAAAUAUUGCCCCAUGAAUUGAUAUAACCUGAGGCUUCUCUUCUGCUCGAAGAUUGACAAGAAAUUGAUAUUUUCCUCUGCUGCUGGAAGAAGAUUUCUUCUUGUUACUGAAGCCUUAUCAUACCUUGUUCCACAAAUUUGAAGAGUCCUAUGUUAGGCCAACAGGGAUGAACCAUCCUCGUACAAAGCUACCUUUUCACCUGGGUGUUGGUUAUGGGUACUCAGGAGACAUCAUAUUAGUAGUCAAUGUGAUUGGGCUAGUUGGUUUGGGGUUUUUUAUAGCUUGGUUUAAGACUAUCCAGCCUACAACUCUGUUUUGGCCUGACAUAUAUAGAUAAUUGUCAAAAUUGUGUUAUUUAUUAAUAUGCUUUUACGCUAUUUUCUUUUGUAGUCUUGUAUUAGGCAUAACUGGGGAAACCAUCCUCAUAGAAAGCUUAACUUCAUAUGUUUUGUAGUCUCUGUUUCAUGUUUGGAU